CACGGGGGGAGCAAGCGUUGUUCGGAAUUACUGGGCGUAAAGGGCGUGUAGGCGGUCUGGUAAGUGGGAUGUGAAAUGCCCCGGCUCACCCGGGGACCUGCAUCCCAAACUACCUGGCUUGAGUAUGGGAGAGGAUGAGGGAAUUCCUGGUGUAGCGGUGAAAUGCGUAGAUAUCAGGAGGAACACCGGUGGCGAAAGCGCUCAUCUGGCCCAAUACUGACGCUGAGGCGCGAAAGCUAGGGGAGCAAACGGGAUUAGAUACCCCGGUAGUCCUAGCCGUAAACGGUGAUCACUAGGUGUUGGAGGCAUCGACCCCUCCAGUGCCGCAGCUAACGCAUUAAGCGCCCCGCCUGGGGAGUACGGCCGCAAGGCUAAA
rnacentral:rRNA from 1 species